rnacentral:rRNA from 1 species
UAGUCCACGCCGUAAACGAUGAGUACUAGUUAUUAGAGGUAUUGACUCCUUUAGUGACGCAGCUAACGCAUUAAGUACUCCGCCUGGGAAGUACGGUCGCAAGACUAAAAACUCAAAGGAAUUGACGGGGGCCCGCACAAGCGGUGGAUCAUGUGGUUUAAUUCGAAGCAACGCGCAGAACCUUACCAACCCUUGACAUCCUGUGCUAACACCAGAGAUGGUGUGUUCCCUUCGGGGACGCAGUGACAGGUGCUGCAUGGCUGUCGUCAGCUCGUGUCGUGAGAUGUUCGGUUAAGUCCGGCAACGAGCGCAACCCACAUCCUUAGUUGCCAGCAGUUCGGCUGGGCACUCUAGGGAAACUGCCCGUGAUAAGCGGGAGGGAAGGGUGUGGGAUGACGUC